rnacentral:rRNA from 1 species
AUUGAACGCUGGCGGAAUGCUUUACACAUGCAAGUCGAACGGCAGCACGGGAGCUUGCUCCUGGUGGCGAGUGGCGAACGGGUGAGUAAUAUAUCGGAACGUAUCCAAUAAUGGGGGAUAACUAGUCGAAAGAUUAGCUAAUACCGCAUACGCCCUGAGGGGGAAAGCUGGGGAUCUUCGGACCUGGCGUUAAUGGAUCGGCCGAUAUCUGAUUAGCUAGUAGGUGAGGUAAAAGCUCACCUAGGCGACGAUCAGUAGCUGGUCUGAGAGGACGACCAGCCACACUGGAACUGAGACACGGUCCAGACUCCUACGGGAGGCAGCAGUGGGGAACUUUGGACAAUGGGCGCAAGCCUGAUCCAGCCAUUCCGCGUGAGUGAAGAAGGCCUUCGGGUUGUAAAGCUCUUUCGCAAGGGAAGAAAACUUAUCCUCUAACAUAGGAUGAGGUUGACGGUACCUUGAUAAGAAGCACCGGCUAACUACGUGCCAGCAGCCGCGGUAA